AGCGAACGCUGGCGGCAGGCCUAACACAUGCAAGUCGAACGAACCUUUCGGGGUUAGUGGCGGACGGGUGAGUAACACGUGGGAACGUGCCUUUAGGUUCGGAAUAACUCAGGGAAACUUGUGCUAAUACCGAAUGUGCCCUUCGGGGGAAAGAUUUAUCGCCUUUAGAGCGGCCCGCGUCUGAUUAGCUAGUUGGUUGAGGUAAUGGCUCACCAAGGCGACGAUCAGUAGCUGGUCUGAGAGGAUGAUCAGCCACAUUGGGACUGAGACACGGCCCAAACUCCUACGGGAGGCAGCAGUGGGGAAUCUUGCGCAAUGGGCGAAAGCCUGACGCAGCCAUGCCGCGUGAAUGAUGAAGGUCUUAGGAUUGUAAAAUUCUUUCUCCGGGGACGAUAAUGACGGUACCCGGAGAAGAAGCCCCGGCUAACUUCGUG
rnacentral:rRNA from 1 species